rnacentral:rRNA from 1 species
AGCGAACGCUGGCGGCAGGCUUAACACAUGCAAGUCGAGCGGGCACCUUCGGGUGUCAGCGGCAGACGGGUGGGUAACACGGGGGAACGUACCCUUCGGUUCGGAAUAACGCUGGGAAACUAGCGCUAAUACCGGAUACGCCCUUAUGGGGAAAGGUUUACUGCCGAAGGAUCGGCCCGCGUCUGAUGAGCUAGUUGGUGGGGUAACGGCCUACCAAGGCGACGAUCAGUAGCUGGUCUGAGAGGAUGAUCAGCCACACUGGGACUGAGACACGGCCCAGACUCCUACGGGAGGCAGCAGUGGGGAAUAUUGGACAAUGGGCGCAAGCCUGAUCCAGCCAUGCCGCGUGAGUGAUGAAGGCCUUAGGGUUGUAAAGCUCUUUUGUCCGGGACGAUAAUGACGGUACCGGAAGAAUAAGCCCCGGCUAACUUCGUG